GGCACGUCCGCCAGGUGGAAGCCACUGGACCUCCCCCCGUGCUGGUGGCAAAGGGCUAGUCAUCCUCUGACAGAGCUCCCACACCUUCCCUGAGCCACACGGCCUGAGGAGUAAAAGCCUGCUCAGGGCUGUAACUGAGCCAGGUCACAGCUUUUCUGGCCCCCAAGACGCUGAGGGUUUCACUGCCACUUCUAUCGGGUACAACCAUGGGCUGACCCUGAACUGGGACUGCCAAAGGAACCCUUCAGAGGCUGCGCUGGGAGGACCUUGGCUGGCUGCUGGCCCCCGCCCAGCUGCUGUCUUGUCCUCAAGCUCUGAAAACGUUCCUGGAUGGCUUUUUAGCAGCUUCACAUUUACUCCUGCCGCUAGGCUUGGUUAGGUUUUGAUCAGCCGCAACUUUAGCCAGACUCCCACUCUGGAUGGUGAGGGCACGCGCGUGUUAGGCGGAGCUGUCCCCUGCACGUCCGGCGCCGAAAUAAACAAAUACCGGCUUAAUAGCA